GGGGCNCAAANCAUGCAAGUCGAGCGAAUGAUGAGGAGCUUGCUCCUCUGAUUUAGCGGCGGACGGGUGAGUAACACGUGGGUAAUCUGCCUGUAAGACGGGGAUAACUCCGGGAAACCGGGGCUAAUACCGGAUAACAAGAGAAGAUGCAUAUCUUCUUUUUGAAAGUCGGUUUCGGCUGACACUUACAGAUGAGCCCGCGGCGCAUUAGCUAGUUGGUGAGGUAACGGCUCACCAAGGCGACGAUGCGUAGCCGACCUGAGAGGGUGAUCGGCCACACUGGGACUGAGACACGGCCCAGACUCCUACGGGAGGCAGCAGAUNANCCANGAACAANNUNUAA
rnacentral:rRNA from 1 species